AUUCUUUCACAGAGGUGAUAUCAUAGCCUAUGAGGUCCAUCUGAGGUGUGAGUUUUGCUGGUUGAAAACAAAUCCAAUACCCUGCCGGGACGACUUGAAAUAUAGUCAUGCCUGCCAAUUUUUGGUAGUCUAAUACGAGA